GGCAUGAGUGGCAGACGGGUGAGUAACGCGUGGGAACCUACCCCUUGGUACGGGAUAGCUCCGGGAAACUGGAGAUAAUACCGUAUGUGUCCUGAGGGACAAAGAUUCAUCGCCAAGGGAUGGGCCCGCGUCGGAUUAGCUAGUUGGUGGGGUAACGGCCUACCAAGGCGACGAUCCGUAGCUGGUCUAAGAGGAUGAUCAGCCACAUUGGGACUGAGACACGGCCCAAACUCCUACGGGAGGCAGCAGUGGGGAAUAUUGGACAAUGGGCGCAAGCCUGAUCCAGCCAUGCCGCGUGAGUGAUGAAGGCCCUAGGGUUGUAAAGCUCUUUCACCGGUGACGAUAAUGACGGUAACCGGAGAAGAAGCCCCGGCUAACUUCGUGCCAGCAGCCGCGGUAAUACGAAGGGGGCUAGCGUUG
rnacentral:rRNA from 1 species